GGUGAAAAAGUGUUGAAAUUGACUUGACCAACAAUUUGGGCAAACCUGCCCACUAAUCUUGCUUCAUAGAACCAAGACUUGCCCAUAAUCUCUAGCUGAGUUGAUUACAUUCCAAUUGAAAGAUUGGAGCAAUGGUUUACCCAAACCACUGGGCAAAUCAACAGUCUACGCUGAGACCUGAUAGUGAGUGGGAAACCAAUUCAAAUUUGAAAUAAAAAGAUCAAGUUUCCUCAUUCAAAGCCGCAGGACAUCACGCGAUUCUCACUCCUUCAGCGCGGCAUAAUAUCCUCCUUGAAUCAAGGAAUCUUCUCCCGAAUGGAAAUAAAUUAAAAGAGGAUCCUCCAAUCGAAGCAAUCAAGAUCUCUUAUUUUCGGAGGGAUUAGGAAGGAUUUUGCUAAGGUUCAGCACCUAUUUAAUCUGGUUUUUGUGGACAGUCGCAUAUCAUCUUCUCUCUCUUCCAAUCUUCUCUCUCUUCCAGCUGAGAGUCGACUCAACUUUUUCUUCAGCCAUUCUCUUUUCUUUUCUUUUGUAUUUUCUUUAAGCCAUGAGUGGCCAAACUCUUUAUUUCUAGUUGACGUUAAGUUGAAGUUUUAGUUUCUUCAUGAAUUGUGAGAUCUAAACAUCAUUGUUUAUCUUUUAUUCUUCCAAUAUUUAAACAAUUUCAGUUCUUAAUAUUAUUAUUGUUUUGCUAUUUGAUCAAUAGGGCUCAUUGCUCAUAUUUUCAAAGUAAUAUAUUGUUAGUUUGAAUACUUGAAGUCCGUAAUUGCUUGAGCUUCGUAACUGUUUGAGGUAUUCAACAAGAAUUAAGGAAUUGCAUGAUCUAGUUUGAACUCACUACGCGGUUUGCUUUGUUGGUUAGAAUUAGGUAUCUCUAAAUUUUAAGGCGGUUGAUAAAUUAAAUCGAAUAGAUAUUCUUUGGGUUGUUUGUUGACUAGAAUUAAUUAGCGAACGUUUUCUAAUUAAUUUUCUCCUAGCGUCUUCCAUAACUAGAACUAAUUUAUUGGAAUGCAUAAAGGUAUUUUUAUUUCUAUGAUCAAUUUUCACAACCGAAAUGGAUCCUAAAUUUGGACUAGAAUUUAUUUGCAUUGAUUUGAUUUCCCUUUGAUUAUUGCUUCCUUUAAUCGUCUUGAUUUCUAUUUUAUCUUCUCCCUUCAUCAAACCCCCUUUUUUUACUUUUAUUAUUUAUUUUUCUAGUUUAUGACCGGAAGUUUUUAGUGUCAAUUCCCUGUAAAUUCGAUUUUAUUCGCCCUAUACGCAAUUUAUAUUUAUUUUGGAUAGGUUUUUUUUAUGGCUUCAACCAUAAAAAAUUGGCAGGUUUAUGACUGAUACAUCCUUUUUCCAUUACCCGCAACCGCGAUUUGAAACCAUAGUGCUUAGUAUCUACAUGCAAAUCAUAAUAUGAUUGAAAAUUCCAACGGGAAUCAAUAAUUUUCCAGUAAUCUAUAUAAUUUCUGAAAUUUUGCUUCAUAGCCAAUUUCAGUCUUAGAUAAAGCCCAUAGGUUUCUUGUCACCAUCCACUAAUCUCAAAAUUUUAAGCAAUGACUCUUGAAUUUUUAUAAUUUAUUCGAUUUCCUGACAAAAGUUUCUUCCUCCUUUAUCCAAGCCAAAAAUAAUUUUCUUAGCUUUAGAAGCAGAUUCAUUAGUAAGUUGGUCAUAUUUAGUUGUUAUCCAUUGCUCCAACUCAAACAUGUUUCUCAAUCCCAUAUUGGAUAAAACUCUACAAUGCAAUAAAAUUUGUUGAAACCUAUUAAUUUCGAAACGAAUUAUAUCUCUUCUAUCAAUGAAUUUGUUCAUAUAAUUUAUCACUCAAUUAUUAUUGUAGAUAAAUUGGAUGAUAAUUUUUCCUUGUUUAAUGAUGGCUUUUAUACCUCUCUUCUUUCCAAAAUUUUCUAAAAUUAAAUUAAUGUGAAAUGCAUUAUAGGCCAUUCAAUACAAAUUUAGAAAUUUUUUCAUCAACUUCUCGCCACCACAUUUGAUAACAACUUCGUUACCAGUCACUACUUGGACAACCUCCCUCGUGCCAAUUUCAUCGACUACCUUUUUUAUGAUUUUGAAGUAAUAAUAUUUUCUUUCAAUAUUACUUGGAUCUAUGGAUUUGAGAAACAAUAUAUCCUGAGGUGAGUAUACCAAAAAAUUAAUUAGUCUCAUUCUAGUUGGUCCACUCCAUCCAUCAUGGUAACUCUCCUCUAGUUUCACAUGUCCUCAAAUGAAUCAAUAUUUUUUUUAUUUCUUUGCAUUCAUUUUUCAAACACACUUUAGAAAUCUAAUGUGCCAAAGGUGAUGAUACAUUAAACCUAACUUCACCAGCUUUUCAGAGCAAUGGUCUAGUCCAUGGUGACUCAACCAUACUGAAAAGCUAUAUGUUGUGAAUGACAAAAUACCAAAGGGUUUUGAGCAACUUUCCUUUUGCAACUUAAGCCAUUUGGUUUUAGUUUUUUAUUGUUUCAUAAUUCUAUUCUUUUCUAAUUCAAUUUCAGCCAUUGUUAAUCUAAAAACACGUGUUGGCGCUUGCUCAACAAAUCUUGAUGUAGAAUUCAAAC
rnacentral:lncRNA from 1 species